CGGCGUAAAGAGUGGUUAUGAACAGAUAAUAACUAAAGCCGAAAACUUUCUAAGCUGUUAUACGCACCCGAAAAGUUGAAGUCCAAUAACGAAAGUAGCUUUACUACCCUCUGACCCCACGACAGCUAAGACACAAACUGGGAUUAGAUACCCCACUAUGCUUAGCCAUAAACUUAGAUGAUGCUAUACAGCUACAUCCGCCAGGGAACUACGAGCGCUAGCUUAAAACCCAAAGGACUUGGCGGUACCUCAGACCCAUCUAGAGGAGCCUGUUCUAGAACCGAUACUCCACGUUAAACCUCACCACUUCUUGUUAAUACCGCCUAUAUACCGCCGUCGUCAGCUUACCCUGUGAAGGACCUAUAGUAAGCAAAAAGAAUAAAAUCCAAAACGUCAGGUCGAGGUGUAGCGUACGAAGUGGGAAGAAAUGGGCUACAUUUUCUAUUACAGAAUAUACGGAAAAUACACUGAAACAUGUAUUCGAAGGUGGAUUUAGUAGUAAAAAGAAAACAUAGUGUUCUUUUGAACUCGGCUCUGAGGCGCGCACACACCGCCCGUCACUCUCCCUAACAAAC
rnacentral:rRNA from 1 species